rnacentral:misc_RNA from 1 species
AACCAUAGAAACCUGCGGAGUACCUGCGGAAGGAUCAUUACAGAGUUGCAAAACUCCCUAAACCAUUGUGAACGUUACCUAAACCGUUGCUUCGGCGGGCGGCCCGGGUCCUUCCCGGCGCCCAUCGGCCCUCGCGGGCGCCCGCCGGAGGUAAACCAAACUAUUGCAUUGUAUGGCCUCUCUGAGUCUUCUGUACUGAAUAAGUCGAAACUUUUAACAAUGGAUCUCAGAUCGGAAGAG